UACGUAGGGUGCAAGCGUUGUCCGGAAUUAUUGGGCGUAAAGGGCUCGUAGGCGGUUUGUCGCGUCGGGAGUGAAAACUCAGGGCUUAACCCUGAGCCUGCUUCCGAUACGGGCAGACUAGAGGUAUGCAGGGGAGAAUGGAAUUCCUGGUGUAGCGGUGAAAUGCGCAGAUAUCAGGAGGAACACCGGUGGCGAAGGCGGCCAUCUGGACCGGCACUGACGCUGGAGGCGCGAAAGCGUGGGGAGCAAACAGG
rnacentral:rRNA from 1 species